UCUGGUUGAUCCUGCCAGUAGUGAUAUGCUUGCUUCAAAGAUUAAGCCAUGCAUGUCUAAGUAUAAGCGAACUUAUACAGUGAAACUGCGGAUGGCUCAUUAAAACAGUUUGAAUUUAUUUGAUGAAUGUAUGAGAAUACUACUUGGAUAACCGUAGUAAUUCUAGAGCUAAUACAUGCAACGACGCCCGACCGUUUCACUACGGAAGGGCUGUAUUUAUUGGAUACCAAAACCAUCCUUCCCUCGGGAAGUUUUGUUUGAUGAUUCACAAUAACUGAUCGGAUCGCCACUGUGGUGGCGACAGGUCAUUCAACAUUCUGCCCUAUCAGCUUUCGAUGGUUGUGUAGUGGACAACCAUGGCCAUAACGGGUAACGGAGAAUCAGGGUUCGAUUCCGGAGAAGGAGCUUGAGAAUUGGCUACUACAUCUAAGGAAGGCAGCAGGCGCGCAAAUUACCCAAUCCCGAUUCGGGGAGGUAGUGACAAAAAAUAACAAUACCGGGCCUUUUUGGGCUUGGUAAUUGGAAUGAGAGAGAGUUAAACGGACCAUCGAGUAUCCAUUGGAGGGCAAGUCUGGUGCCAGCAGCUGCGGUAAUACCAGCUCCAAUAGCGUAUAUUAAAGUUGUUGCAGUUAAAAAGCUCGUAGUUGGACUUGUGUGCGCUGUCCGCGGGUGGCCUGCGCCCAAAAGGGCGUUUCGGUUCGGCCCCGGUGGCGCCUUGAAAUCUGCAGCUGGGGGGACGUUGGCCUUAACUGGUCGGCGACCGCACGCCGGCUGCUCGGUUACUGUGAGAAAAUUAGAGUGUUCAAGGCAGGCAUUGGGUGCAAUUGAAUACAUUAGCAUGGAAUAAUAAAAUAUGGCUCCUGCCGUAUUUUGUUGGUUUUGACUGGUGGGAGUAAUGAUUGAUAGGGACGGUUGGGGGUGCUAGUAUUGAGCGGCCAGAGGUGAAAUUCAUGGAUUCGCUCAAGACUAACUUAUGCGAAAGCAUUCACCAAGGACGUCCUCUUUAAUCAAGAACGAAAGUUGGGGGAUCGAAGACGAUCAGAUACCGUCGUAGUCUCAACCAUAAACUAUGUCGACUUGGGAUCGGCGGUAGUUUUUUCAUUAAGACACUGUCGGGACCACGGGAGAAAUCAAAGUGUCUGGACUCUGGGGGAAGUAUGGUCGCAAGGCUGAAACUUGAAGGAAUUGACGGAAGGGCACCACCAGGAGUGGAGCCUGCGGCUUAAUUUGACCCAACACGGGGAAACUUACCAGGUCCAGAGAUGUAGAGGAUUGACAGAUUGAAGCUCUUUCUUGAUCACUUCGGUGGUGGUGCAUGGCCGUUCUUAGUUGGUGGAGUGAUUUGUCU
rnacentral:rRNA from 1 species